rnacentral:rRNA from 1 species
CCUACGGGAGGCAGCAGUGAGGAAUAUUGGUCAAUGGCCGUAAGGCUGAACCAGCCAAGUAGCGUGAGGGAAGACUGCCCUAUGGGUUGUAAACCUCUUUUGUGCGGGGAUAAAGGUGUCCACGUGUGGAUGUUUGCAGGUACCGCAUGAAUAAGGACCGGCUAAUUCCGUGCCAGCAGCCGCGGUAAUACGGAAGGUCCGGGCGUUAUCCGGAUUUAUUGGGUUUAAAGGGGGCGGAGGCGGGUAUUUAAGCGUGCCGUGAAAUUUUGUGGCUCAACCAUGGGCGUGCGGCGCGAACUGGAGACCUUGAGUGAGCGAGAGGCAGGCGGAAUGCGUGGUGUAGCGGUGAAAUGCAUAGAUAUCACGAAGAACCCCGAUUGCGAAGGCAGCAUGCCGGCGCGUAACUGACGCUGAAGCACGAAAGCGCGGGUAUCGAACAGGAUUAGAUACCCUGGUAGUC